CUUAAACAAACAGAACGCCUAUCGACAUUUAGCACCAGGAAUGGCAUCUGUUUAGCCAUGAUAAAUCUCUCCUGAGUAUUUUUGAAACAUUUCCACCUGCGAUUCACUGUAUGUCAAAAUUUUAACUGCAGCUUAUUUACUAAGAGACAGCGGUGCCCAAACAGAGUUGAACAGGAUAAUAAUCCCCAUUGUGCUGUAAAUUCUAUUAAGCACGCAGUCAUUUUUUAGUAACAAGAAUAUAUGACAUAUUACAAGAGAUUCUAGAAUUAUAA